rnacentral:lncRNA from 11 species
GGGACAUACAGGCUUACUGAAACACAGAGCAAGUUCUUCUCUUUAGUUGUGUGUCCCUGUCCUAUGAAGGCUUGACAAAAGCAGGGCAAGAUCACAAAAGGGCUUUGUGAUGUAGGAGUGACUUUAAAAGGAAAGCUUGACCAAGAAACUACCAGACCACCACUGCUCCCUAGGGGUUGCAUUAUGUGGAUGCUCCUGCUGAACAUGAUUUGGAGAGAACAUAUCAGAGCUGCAGCAGAUCUUGACCUUUUUCACCUUUCUCUGGUCUUUCAAGAUGACUACAAUCUUCCUGGAAAAAGACAGGUCUCAGAGAAGAACACAUGUAAAUCUCAUCUUCUGACGUCUACAACUGUGCGUUCAGCAUGGGUGUCUGAAAAGGGGAAGCCCAACUACACUGGUUUCCUGACACUGUGGAGCUUUAUGCAGUCAGACAACUUUCUGAAGAAACUGCUACUGUAUUUGCGUGGAGGGAGUGAUGCCAUUUCAUUAACAGACUUCAUUCACCAUGAAGAAGAACAAGGGAGGUCUGCAGUUGCUUUGUAUUCCAAUCAGGAAUGCUCUUCUUUAGCUUUCUUCUUCUUCAUGCUCUGGAUACUCUGCUGCAGUUCCUAG